GACGAACGCUGGCGGCGUGCUUAACACAUGCAAGUCGAACGAAGUGGCGAACGGGUGAGUAACGCGUACUCAACCUGCCCUUCAGAGGGGGACAACAGUUGGAAACGACUGCUAAUACCUCAUACUGAAGGAGGGGAUUGCGUCUGAUUAGCUGGUUGGAGGGUUAACGGCCCACCAAGGCGAUGAUCAGUAUCCGGUCUGGAAGGAUGAACGGCCACAUUGGGACUGGGAUACGGCCCAGAAUCCUACGGGAGGCAGCAGUGGGGAAUCUUCCGCAAUGGACGAAAGACUGACGGAGCAACGCCGCGUGAGUGAUGACGGCCUUCGGGUUGUAAAGCUCUGUUAAUCGGGACGCGGUACCGGAAUAGAAAGCGACGGCUAACUACGUGCCAGCAGCCGCGGUAAUUC
rnacentral:rRNA from 1 species